rnacentral:rRNA from 1 species
CUGGUGAAUGCCUUGGCGACAAGAGGCGAUGAAGGACGUGGCACCCUGCGAAAAGGCUCGGGGAGAUGGGAGCAUUCUUUGAUCCGAGCAUGUCCGAAUGGGGAAACCCACCCGCAAGGGUAUCUGUACAUGAAUACAUAGUGUCCAGAAGCAAACCCUGGGAACUGAAACAUCUCAGUACCAGGAGGAAAGGAAAUCAAACGAGACUCCGCUAGUAGUGGCGAGCGAACGCGGACCAGCCCAGUGAUUACAGUGUGACAACCAGAACCGUCUGGAAAGUCGGGGCCAUAUUGGGUGAUAGCCCCGUAUGGGUAAAACACGCUGUAAUUCUUGAGUAGGACGGGACACGAGAAAUCCUGUCUGAACAUGGGGGACCACCUCCAAGGCUAAGUACUCCUUAGUCGACCGAUAGUGAACCAGUACCGUGAGGGAAAGGUGAAAAGCACCCCGAUAAGGGGAGUAGG